rnacentral:rRNA from 1 species
GUACACGCUGUGACUAGCAUAUCAAUAAGCGGAGGAAAAGAAACUAACUAGGAUUCCCUCAGUAACGGCGAGUGAAGCGGGAAGAGCUCAAAUUUGAAAUCUUCAAGGUUUUACCUUGACGAAUUGUAGUUUAAAGAAGUGUUUUCUGUUGAAGUUUUGGUAAAAGUUCUUUGGAAUAGGACAUCAUAGAGGGUGAGAAUCCCGUAUUUGACCAUUAUUUCCAGCUUUGUGAUACACUUUCAAAGAAUCGGAUUGUUUGGGAAUGCAGUCCAAAAUGGGUGGUAAAUUUCAUCUAAAGCUAAAUAUUGGCGAGAGACCGAUAGCGAACAAGUACCGUGAGGGAAAGAUGAAAAGAACUUUGAAAAGAGAGUUAAACAGUACGUGAAAUUGUCAAAAGGGAAGCGUUUGACACCAGUGUUGUUUUCUCGAAAAUCAAUUAAAAAAGGCAGGAUUUUGUGUUGUAUUGACUUUAUCAGCUUUCUGCACUCUUUUCUUGUCUUUUUUAAUGCACUUUUCGUUUAACAAGUCAACAUCAAUUUCUUUUGUUGUAAAAGGGUCAUUGGAAGGUGGCUUUCCUUUCGGAGAAAGUGUUUAUAGCCUUUGGCCUCUGCAAUCGGAGAGAUUGAGGUCUGCAGCGUAGAUCCUUCGGGGUUAGAUACAUUUGUGCUAAGUUAUAGCCUUUCAUAGACAACUUGUUGACUAUGAUCAGUCAUGUAGCUUACUCGCUUAUGCUAGUUUUACCUACGCUUAGGAUGUUGAAGACUCUACAGAGAU